ACGGGCGGAGUGUACAAGGCCCGGGAACGUAUUCACCGCGGCAUGCUGAUCCGCGAUUACUAGCAAUUCCAACUUCAUGCAGGCGGGUUUCAGCCUGCAAUCCGAACUGGGACCGUUUUUUGAGUUUUGCUCCACCUCGCGGUCUUGCUUCUCUUUGUUCACGGCCAUUGUAGUACGUGUGUAGCCCAGGUCAUAAGGGGCAUGAUGAUUUGACGUCGUCCCCACCUUCCUCCGUUUUGUCAACGGCAGUCUCACUAGAGUGCUCUUGCGUANCAACUAAUGACAAGGGUUGCGCUCGUUGCGGGACUUAACCCAACAUCUCACGACACGAGCUGACGACAACCAUGCACCACCUGUCACCCCUGCCCCGAAGGGAACCCUGUCUCCAGGAGCGUCAGANGGAUGUCAAGACUGGUAAGGUUCUCCCGUUGCUUCGAAUUAAACAACAUACUCCACUGC
rnacentral:rRNA from 1 species